AAUAAUAUGAAUAAAAAAGGUGAAAUAGUUAUUUCUUAAAAGGGAAGCAUGGUGAAAAUCCAUCACGGUCCCGCCACUGUAAUCAGGGAGUUAGGUUUUACCACUGUUAAUUAACGGGAAGGAGAAUCUAUAAAAACUAUGAACUGUAAGUCAGGAGACCUGCCUUUUUUUAAUUAAACAU
rnacentral:ncRNA from 2 species